UAUUAACUUUAACCUGAUAUUUUUGUCAAAGUAUUUAUAAUAGCAAAAUUAAUGGACAUUUCAUCAGUUUUCUCUAGCCCAGUUUAAUAUCAGUGAAAAAUUCUAGGGAGCAAUGAUAGGUUUAAGAGGUGAAUAGUGGGGACUGGGGAUGUAGCUCAGUGGUAAAACACUUGCCUAGCAUGUGUGAGGCCCUGAGUUCAAUCCCCAGACUGAAAAAAAAAAAAAAAAUGAAUAGUGUAAGAUAUACUAUUCAGUUCAUGGGUAGUUGAAGUGGGCAUGUUGCCCUAGAAAAUAAUAUUAAGUCUGUUGGCACUAAAGGCUGUUCCAGAUUUACUAUCUGCACACUGGGUAUUAGCAUAUAAUAUAUGUUAUGUAUUAGCAUAUUAGCAUUUUAAUUUUUAUUGCUUCCACCUGAAAACACAAUUAUGCAACUGAGAGAAAUCUCUCUUCUAAAGAAAAAGGAUUUCAGAGCUUGGUAUUUAUUAAGCCAGGUUUUCCCCACCGGAGUGUGGUAGACUGGUUUAGGAAAUGGAAGACUGAAUCCUUUGAGCCAGCCCCUUCUCUCUGUCACUAGAGUUCCUCACUAGGAACUGUAUUGACCUGAAACCAUGGGUCAUGUUUUUGUUUAACAAAUAAAAAAUUUGUAGGAAUGGGUUGAGGUGUUUUUCUCAACAGAAUUAACAGGUAAGUUUACUCUUUAUUUUUCUGAAUUUGGGAACAUCUCAGAUCAGAAUUUGGUGUUUCAAUCACUGAAAUUGAAUUUUCUUCCCUUUGAUUAUCAAAGGUGGGUUGCUUUGCAGAGUUUAAAAGGCUAUCAAAGGCCAACCUGAAGAUCAAAUGUGUUUGUUCUGUUGCUUAUCCACCUAUCUACAAAGUGUACAUUUUAGGGAAUAUAACUGUUUCUCAAGGAAGAUAAACACUUCACUUGAAGGACUUACCAUAGUGUUUGCACACCUGCAUAUUUUUAUUAAGCCUAAAAGUGGUCUGAGGUCCUCUCAAUCUAAUGCCUCCUUCCUUCAGAUCCUCUUUACCUCCUUCCUUUUCUGAGGACAGCCUUCCUCUGACCCAAUCUAUAUACUAAAGAACCAUUACAAGUUAUUAAUAUUUGUUCCAAAAGUGUUGUUAUUCCUCAUGGCACUGUGGAAAUGUUUUUAAAAAGAAAAAACUGACUCCUACCUCCCUGCCCAGGCAUCUGUCAUUAGAAUGUUUGUGCCUUUUACACAGCUUACUCUCCUUACUCCUUCCCUGCAAGGAUUAAACUAAAGUUCAAGAUCAUGAGGACUUUCCAAACCACCUUCUCUUGCAGCAGUUGCGAUUUUCUUCCCCCUUGACAGUCCAUACAACUUCCAUUUGUAUAUUCUUGACAAAGUGGAUAUUUUAUUCCUUUGUGUCCCCACAGUAAAUAUCCUCUUACUGUACUAAAAGAUCCGUAGUUGAUGGUGAUAAUGAUUCUUAAUCUGAAAGCCAAGAAAUUUCUAAUGUUUGUCCAGGUUAACCAACAGGUACAGCCUUUUUGAACUACACAGAUAUUUUCCCAUAUGACCAAUGUGAUGAGAGAGGUUCCCAAGCUAGACCACUAAUUAGCUAGAAUGCUUUGCAUUUAAAAUACUGAAAGAGUGGGAUACAUAAAUGUUAAAAUGAAGUUAAGAAAUAGUGUUUCUUUGUCUUUUAUAUGAUAUGGACAUUCUGGAAAAUACAGAAAUUGGUGUUUGAAAUAGAUGUCCCUGAUUUUGAUAACAUCAAAUUUCAUUUCAGAGUUUUCAAGUUUGUCUUUUUUUGGAUACAGGUGUUUGGGUGCCUUAUUGUUCUUGGACAUGAUGACAGGUUUUUGGUUUUUAUUUGUUAAGUAAAGCCAGGCUUCAGAUUAAAGGAUUCAUAGCAGACAGCAGGGACUAUUUGUAUAUUUGUAAAGUGGGUCCACAUGACCAGGACGAUGCCUAUGUAAUGAGUGAUGUGAAACAAACCUACAUUUUUUAUGUGAGUUGGCUUGAAGUUUUAGAUUACUACUUUUUGAAUCUUAAUAAAAGUCUUUCACAUUCCCUUUUGCUGAA
rnacentral:lncRNA from 1 species